AAUUUAUUACAUUAUACGGCAGCGGUCGGCAACACGCGGCCCGCGAACGUCUUACUUGCGGCCCGUGAAUGUGUU